ACCGCGUUAAAUUGUUAAUCGGAGGGAACUGAAGACUGACGGACGGUAAGAAAAACGAAAAGUGCGUUGCGUUUUGUUUUUUCGUUUACGUUGUUCUUAAUUCGAAAACGCCUCGGUGAUCUGCACGCGUUAGAACACGCGUUUACACCGCCCUCGCAUUCGCUUUGACGGAGUAGCGUUUCUGUGAACUAUUAGCGCUGGCAGCCGACGAUCCGAUCUUUACCG